rnacentral:tRNA from 1 species
GCCUGGGUGGCUCAGUCGGUUGAGUGUCCGACUUCGGCUCAGGUCAUGAUGUCACAGUCUGUGGGUUCAAGCCCCGCAUCGGGCU